AGAAGUUACGGCACAAAUCAAGGGGUUCUCGUUCGAGAUCCCACGGCGAAGCCCGAAGAUAGUUGGUCUUUGCUGCUGACAAAGAGCAUGAUCGUGGCCGAAGGCAAGUAAAAGGCAUCCUGCCUAGAACUCGGCACCGAAGUGGUCAGGCUGAUGAAGAUGGUGGACGAAGCAUAUAGAUCUUUGGAGGUCCUACCGGGAGCGGAGCGAGGAUGUAGCUGUGCGGAGCGAGGAUGUAGCUGAGCAGAGCAAGGAUUUGGUUGUGCAGAUUCUUCGGAUUUCCAAGAUGAGGAACAAAGCAUUCAAUUAUGCCCAGUCUGAAAGAUGUGGUACGCCUAAAGAUGGACAACCAUGAGUUGGAAAGCAAUCUAUACACUUUGAGGACAUAUCUCAAGGUAAUCCUCAUGACCAAAGAAGACCCAACAGCCAUUUUCCUGAUUGACCGAAGAGGGUUUCCCGCCCUAUUUGUCUUCGGGAUCAUGGUCGAAGCAGAGUAGAUGAAGACCCAACAGCCAUUUU
rnacentral:lncRNA from 1 species